GUGUUCAAAUUCAUGUUGUUACUACUGUGUUCAAAUCCUGUUUUUACUGCUGGUUCAAAUUAGUUGUUACUCUAUGUUAAAAUCAUGUUGUUUUAUUUACUCCUGUGUCAAAAUCAUGUUGUUACUACUGUGUUCAAAUUCAUGUUGUUACUACUGUGUUCAAAUUCAUGUUGUUACUACUGUGUUCAAUAUCAUGUUAUUACUACUGUGUUCAAAUUCAUGUUGUUACUACUGUGUUCAAUAUCAUGUUGUUACUACUGUGAACAGAGAAAGUGAAAUAUUCCUCAAAAUUAAAAAAGACCCAAACCCGAAAAUAAUAACAACUAUGCAAGGCUAAAACACUUUCCUACUAAUUCAAUACUGCUGCAGUGCUUGUUGUAGCGAUGAGUGGAAAUAGGAAGAAUGCACAUUUUAUGGCUUAUAAAAGUGUUGAAUACUACAAAGUGUUGAAUACUACAAAGUGUUGACAGUGCGGAGUAAGAACUAAAACAGGAACAAGGCCGAGUUUGUACCUUCGGACACAUGAUAUGGUUAGAAAUGGCAACAGUUGCCCUUCCCGGCGCGCAGGGCAGCUGAAUCGGGGGCACCUACCAACAACAGCCCAAGAUGAAAAAAAAAUCAAAAUAGGAACACAAAGCUUUAUUGUUGGGGUUUUUACCAGAAAUGUUUAACGAUUGACUAGGAAUGCCUUGGACGUCGACCAGUCGAUCAUCAUCGACCGGUUUGUGACAACUGCUCUUGAAAGUUGAAUCAAGUUCAAUCCUGUGCUUCUCUCUGUGGGCUGAUAUGUCUGCCUGCCAGUCCAGGGGGAGCUGCACAGUGGUCUGUGGGGCUACUGCCUGCCUGCAGCUUCCAGAGAACACUGUUGCAUGUACAGGAAUUUGACUCAGUGGAAUAGUGCUGCGACAGCGUUAAUAAAGACAGACAAUAGACAAAUAAAUAUGGACAAAAUAUAUAGACCCAGAAUUUACAGAAUCCACAUACAGCAUGUAAACUAUGAGAACUGAAGCUUAGAGAAACAAUUAAGAUACACAUUUUAACAGGAUGAUGUGCACUGGGGG
ensembl:lncRNA